ACACUCCUACGGGAGGCAGCAGUGGGGAAUUUUGGACAAUGGGCGAAAGCCUGAUCCAGCAAUGCCGCGUGAGUGAAGAAGGCCUUCGGGUUGUAAAGCUCUUUUGUCAGGGAAGAAACGGUGAGAGCUAAUAUCUCUUGCUAAUGACGGUACCUGAAGAAUAAGCACCGGCUAACUACGUGCCAGCAGCCGCGGUAAUACGUAGGGUGCAAGCGUUAAUCGGAAUUACUGGGCGUAAAGCGUGCGCAGGCGGUUUUGUAAGUCUGAUGUGAAAUCCCCGGGCUCAACCUGGGAAUUGCAUUGGAGACUGCAAGGCUAGAAUCUGGCAGAGGGGGGUAGAAUUCCACGUGUAGCAGUGAAAUGCGUAGAUAUGUGGAGGAACACCGAUGGCGAAGGCAGCCCCCUGGGUCAAGAUUGACGCUCAUGCACGAAAGCGUGGGGAGCAAACAGGAUUAGAAACCCCUGUAGUCCC
rnacentral:rRNA from 1 species